UUUCCAGAGGCCCUUCCAACAGCAGAAUCAAUUUUGUGACUCCCUGAUUCGUGUGAUAUGUAUAUGUCAAAACAGCAGUGUUUGAAUUAACAGAUGCAGGAGCAUCAGGGCUGUCAGCAGGAGCAGAUUGUUUUGAGUUGCAGAUGAGAUAAUAAUUCACAGAUAAUCAUUUAAUUGAUGGAUUCAGUUAUUUCUUUCUUCUCAUACAGUAUUCUCUGUCUUUGUAGCUUAUAUUCUGAAGUCCUUAUCACCACCUCUCUUUACUCAAGGAUGGAAGGGCUGCAAGAAUUUGGAUCACAUGGUGAGAAGCAGUAGGUGGAAAAAAUUAAGUAUCACUGUGAGUCAGCUGAAAAAUCAACUGGAGUUGAUGGGCAGGUCAGUGCUGAAUGAGAAGAUACAGCUCCCCAGAGUCAUGCUGAUUGAAGAAGUUCAGCUAUUUUAAACUGUGUGUGCCUGGCGAGAUAUGUGAGCUGUUCUUCUACUGUAGUACAACUGAUACUCUACAUGGAAAGAAAAAAAGCCCCUUCUUCAAAACCUAAACAUGGCAUCAUUUUGUAUUCCAUUGAACAAGAGACAGAUAAUAUUCAUGAGAUCAUUAGGGUGUGAAUUAAUACCUCACUGACAUAAACAGUGUUUUGAUUUGCCCAUUACUUUUAUGGUCUUCUUUUUCCCUUUCGUAUAUUCCAUUGCUUAAAUUACAUAAACUAAGCAUCAGCAUCUCAGAUGAAAAUUAAUUUUCUUUUGGAGACUACUGUUCCUUUUACUUCACCAUUAGAAGAACUGGGAAGCAGAAUCGAGUUGACAAAGAAAAUGAAUGCGAACACAAAGUACUGCUUGAGUCCUGUAAGUUUUCCAACGUAAGAAAGAGAGAUGGUUGUGGAAAUGCUCAGUGGUUUCUUAGUCUCAUUAACCCUUCAACUCUCAUUCACAAAAUCUUUGUUACGAAGUAAAGGUUGAAGUAGGUAAAGGCAAUAAAGUCAAGAAAAUCACAGAAUCACAAAAUUGUUUAGGUACAAACCCCUUGUUCAAGCAGGGACACCUGGUGCAGGUUGUCAAGGACCACAUCCAGAUGUCUUUUGAGUAACUCCAAGGAAGAAGACUCCAAAACACUGGGAAAUCUGUGCCAGCACUUGGUUAUCCUCACAGUAAGGAAGUGUUUCCUGAUAUUCUGUGUUACAGUUAAUGCCUCCACCUCUCAGCACAGCCAGUUCCAGCCUUACCACACUCUGAUUAAAGAAUUUCCUCCUAACAUCUAA